GUGCCAGAGGUCAUAAAGAGCUGCUGAGCUAGUUGAGCUUUCUAGUGCUCAGAAGCAAAUCGAUCAGAUGAGCUGCAACUGUGGCUCUGCCACAGACCAUGAGCUAAUGCAGGCUGUACCCAGUGAGCCAGUGCCGCGGGCACUGGAGCCGGCAGUGGGAGAGGGUGAGCCGACAUAGCUAAUGCCUAACGCCAGGAGGGAGAGACAAAGGGGCCUCUUCUUUAACACUGUGAAUAGCCCCAGAGUGAAUACAGCCUUCGACAGCUGUGGUUUCAUUCUCAUCACCGCUGGGCGAGUUGGGGGUGCUAAUUGUGAAGCUGGAGAGCUGUUAAAAUCAGACCAGAUUUGUUAAAGGAGAGGAGUAAGAUGAUACUUCAGACCAGUAUCUGCAGUGGCACAGGCACAAAAGCCCUAUCUCAGGAGAAGGAAUGAAAGGAAGGCAAAAAGGCCGUGAGAAAAUGAAAGAAGCUGGUUGAUUGACCCCUCCUCUGUGUCGCCUCAGCAACUUGUCCAUAUCAUUGUUACAGCACUUACCACACAGUUGUAAGACGGUACUGCAAGCUUACUUUCCAACGUGGCUGCAUCGUUUCACAUUCCCACCAGCAGUAUGAGGUUUCCAAUUUCUCUGCAUCCUCAUCAAAACUUGUUAUUAUCUGUCUUUUUUAUUUUAGACGUUCUAGAAGGUGUGGAGUGGUAUCUCAUUGUGGUAUUGAUUUGCAUUUCCUUAAGGACUAAUGCUUUUGAACAUUUUUUCAUGUGCUUAUUGGCCAUUUGUAUAUCUUCUCUGGAGAAAUGUUUAUUCAAAUCCUUUGUCCAUUUUUUAAUUGGAUUGUCUUUUUAUUGUUGCAUGGUAUAAGUUCUCUAUAUAUUCUGGACACAAGUCUCUUAUUAGUUAUACCAUUUGCAAAUAUUUUCUCCCAUUCUGUGCGUUGUCUUUUAACCUUUCUAAUGUGUCCAUUGAAACACAAAAGUUUUUAAUUUUCACAAAGUUCAAUUUAUCUACUUUUUUCUUUUGUCACUUAUUUGUAUCAUAUCUGAGAAACCAUUACCUAAUCCAAGGUCAGGAAGGAUUACUCCUAUGUUCUCUUUUGAGAGUUUUAUUGUUUUUACUCUUAUAUUUAAGUUGAAUAUCCAUUUUGAGUUAGUUAAUUUUUGUAUAUAGUAUGACAUAGGAUCGAGAGGAUCUUGUUAAUCACUUUUUCCUGAUAUACAUCAGCUUCAAAUGUGAAGCUAUAAAUCUCCCUGUAGGUUUCCUGAAAGCCCUCAUUAUAUAAAGCAACUUCUGUGACAAAUUUGACUUGAUUAAUUAAUUAAUUAGAGACACAGUCUUGCUCUGUCCCCCAGACUGGAGUGCAGUGGUGCCAUCUUGGAUCACAGCAACCUUCAACUCUCAGGUUCAAGCAAUUCUAGUGCCUCAGCUUCCCAAGUAGCUAGGAUCACAGGUGUGCACCAGCAUGCCUGGCUACUUUUUGUAUUUUUAGUAGAGGCAUGUUUUUGCCAUGUUAGCCAGACUGGUCUCUAACUCCUGGCCUCAAGUCUUCCCCUGCCUUGGCCAACCAAAGUGCUGGGAUUACUGGUGUGAACCACCGUGCCUAGUCAUGAUAAUUUAUUGAGUGGAGUUCUGUUCAAGAUGAUGGAGGGCUAACAGCAGCAAAAGCCAGGCUCACUGGCUCUUGCCUGUAAUCCUAGCACUUUGGGAGGCCUAGUUGGUUAGGUAGAUCACCUGAGCUCAGGAGUUCGAGACCAGCCUAGCCAACAUGGCGAAACCCUGUCUCUACUAAAAAUACAAAAAUUAGCCGGGCAUAGUGGUGGAUGCUAAUAAUCCCAGCUACUCUGGAGGCUGAGACAGGAGAAUUGCUUGAACCUGGGGGCGGAGGUUGCAGUGAGCUGAGAUUGCGCCACUUCACUUCAGCCUGAGUGACAGAGUGAAAUUCCAUCUUAAAAGAAAAAAAAAAAAAAAAGGAAAGAAAGCAGCAAAGAGAAUUUUUUGGCAAGAUUAUGAGCCAAUUUUAAGAGCUUUUAUUACAUUUCAAAUGUGAUUUUAAAUUCUCAAAGUUGGACAGAUAGCAGGGAAAGAAUGGUCACAGACUUUUCCCUAAUAUUUUAAGUUGCUUCAAACCAGUUAUUAAAUCUUAUAUGUAUUUUUUAAAGACUUAUUCCACAGGGGUUUGAUUAAUUUACACAGACUUCUUCCAAAACUGUAUCUAAACCACAUUGUUGAUAUCUAAGAAACUCUAUGAGCUUCUUCAAAAGCCCUCUUAAAAAUACAACAAAAUCAUGUUAGCAACUCCAGAUUCCAAGUUGAAAUCCUCCCGCUUUAGUAUAAGAACCAUCAGUUUUGAAUGAGUCUGGAUACGAAAACCUAUUUUCCCAUUUUGAGGAGAAAAUCCCUUUUUAGAGACUCUUUCUUGAAUGGAUAUUUGUUAUAACAUAUUUGGGCUUAGGGCUAAAACCUUUGGUUUGUAAGCUGAGGUUUUCAUUUGCACUUACCAUCAACAGCGUAUAAGUUGAAAAGAAUCUCAGGUCUGGUUGCUGUCCUGAGCUACUGCAAAGAAGAAACCACUGAGAAUAAGAGCAUUUCAAUUAUUGUACAUCACAUUUGCUAUUUGCUGCCGUUAUUCUUCUAUUAAAGGAGGAUAAUCAACUGAUAUGAUAUUGUAGAUCUCAGUGCCUAGUGCAUUGUAGGUCCUCAAUAUAUGUUGAUUCUUCUUUUCUUUACAUAUUUUUGAGGUACAGAAAGAAGUUCUUAAAAUGGUUUUUAACUGUAAUCAUUUUGGAAAAUUAGCUAUGAAGAUGGAAAUUUGUGAACAAAGGAGAACUUGCAAAUGCCAUUUUACUGAGCAUGUUACUGAAUGGUUAUAUAAGGAGUAAAUAUUCUCUCAGCCUUAGUAAGUAAAUAUGAACCAAUAAGAACACAGGUGAGGACUCUUUUCCUAACCAGAAUAGAUGGCUAAGGUUUACAGGGCAAUAAAUUAGACUAUUUGUAUCCAAAGCAAUAUUGUUGUCACCACCAAUUGUAAUAAGCAUUUUUAUAAUUUAUGCCUUUAAUGUGUUUAUUAUGAAAAAGCUUCUAAGUAUAUUGCACAAGUGGUAAUCUGCUCCAGAACUGGAAAUUUGGGAGACUUGGUUUUUGGACUCAGCCUAUUCACUAUUAUUUGGUUGAUAGGUUUAUUAUUAUUAUUAUUAUUAUUUUUUAAAGGCCUGAGACAGUAGAGACUUUCUAAUAAAAUAUGCUGCAGUGAUGAAAAUUA
rnacentral:lncRNA from 1 species